CAUCAAACCUCCUGUUGGGCCAUUUCCGAGAACUCCCAUCAGUUUCUGUAUAGUGUAAAAGGCUUCACUUGAUGUCAAAGAACAUGAAGUGAAGAAAUACAUGAGAAUUUUCAGGAAGUUGAACAAAAACACCGACUCCAUCUUUUGGGAGCUUCAGUGAAGAAAGCGUAAAUAAGACUGUGAUGAAGUUUGCUAGUUGGC
rnacentral:lncRNA from 1 species